rnacentral:lncRNA from 1 species
GAGCCCAAUGCCCACCGCAAGGAUGGCACAAGGCUGGGCCUGGGCUCCCUGAGGCAGGCCUUCUCCCGGGCCAGCCAGCGGGCUUUGACCCAGGUCUCCAAGGAAGAUACGGGCCUGUUCCGGCGAAGCUCCUGCUCCCUGUUCCGGUCCUUCCGGCAAGCCCUGAAUGACGGCCCAGCUACCGGCCAUUCCCAGGCCACUCCUGAGGUGCCCUCGGGGGUCAUGAAUGGUGUCAGCCAGCAGGCAUCCACUGGGGCAGCGUCUGAGGAACUGAAACCCGAGGCAGUCCUGACUUCCUGGGCGCCCCGGGGCUGGCGCUGCCCGCCGAGCCGCUGCCUCCGCUCCUGGCGCCGGACGUGUGGGCCCGACUGGAGAGCGACUACACCAGCUUCCUGGAGGCCAAGAUCGCAAGCUGCUUCGACAGCAUCUUGCAGCUGGAGCAGAGUCACUGGGCGGCCGC